CACACCGCAUACGCGCGGCGGCGAGCGAUCGGCGGGAAGCUGCAUGCAUCGCCCGUCUCCCUCGCCAUCCCCACCGCCUGCCCCCUUCUGCCCCCCUCUCCUUGCCGGGUUGCAGGGCGCGCUCCAGCUCUCCGUGUUCCCCUCGCCGGGAACCUGAGCUGAUCAUUUCCUUUCCCACCGAUCGGUCCGUCUACUAGGAGCCGACGAUCGACAACAACCCAAUUCGUUCCAGCUCUCGACCGCUCGUUCAUCCGGCCCGCCGGGCCAUGCGCUGGAGGUAAGCCGGCGCCGACACCGACAUCGCCUGCAGUUCUCUCUCCCCCCUCUCUCUUGGACGUCCGGGCCGGGAGGGGAGGAGAGAAGACCAGAAGGACCGACGACACCUCGCGGCGCGAGCACGGAGGAGGAGGAGGAGUGGUGCGGGGAGACGAAGACGAUCUGCUGACAUGGCGACGGCGAUGGACACGACGGUGCCGAGGAGCGGGGUGGGGGAAGGCGGCGGCGGCGGUGGGCUGAAGAAGGGGCCGUGGACGCAGGCGGAGGACCGGGUGCUGCUCGACCACGUGCGGCGGCACGGCGAGGGCAACUGGAACGCGGUGCGCCGGGAGACCGGGCUGCAGCGCUGCGGCAAGAGCUGCCGGCUCCGGUGGGCCAACCACCUCCGCCCCAACCUCCGCAAGGGCCCCUUCUCCCCCGAGGAGGAGCGCCUCAUCCUCCGCCUCCACGGCCUCAUCGGCAACAAGUGGGCGCGCAUCUCAACACACCUGCCGGGGAGGACGGACAACGAGGUCAAGAACUUCUGGAACACGCGCCUCAAGCGCCGGCAGCGCGCCGGGCAGUCGCUCUACCCGCCGGACGUCGAGCGGGAGAUCGCCCUCAUGCGCGCCCAGAACAUCAACCCGUUCGCCGACGCGGACGGCAAUACUGCGGCGUCGCCGUUCUCGGACCCGUUCGCGCUGCCUCCCAGGCCGCCGUCGUCCACCAAACCGCCCUCUCACUCUCACUCCUCGCCGCUGAUCGACCAGCACCACCCGCUCCUCAACCAGAUGCAGGGGAUGCAGAUGCGCCACCACGCCGCACAGCACCAGCACCCGCAGCCGGCGUUCCACCACCACCACCAUCACCACCACGGCGGCAUGAGGGCUGCGGGGCUCCCGCCGUUGCCGGCCACGGCGGCCAGGCCGCGCGAGCUCCCUUCGAACCAAAUCGAGACGGCGAGCUGCAGCGGCGGCGGCGACGGCCUGCUCGAGGCGCUGCUGCUCGGCGUCGACGACCAUCAACUCCCCCGUCCCAACCAUGGCGUGUGCAGGGCCGGCUCCAUGCCCGAUCUCAUGUACGGCGGCGUCUCGAGCGCCAGCGACAGCGACGAUACCUCGCAGUUCCCUCCCGGAGGCCAGGACGCGCACCAUGGCGGGAAAUGGGACUUCCUCAUCGGUCACAACAGCCCUGAGCCCCCGAUCUCCUUUAUGCACGGCUGCGUCUGAGCACCACCGCGCCGGUGUGUCACCGUUGAAGCCCUCCACGCCGGCGACAUCUCACUCCUAGCGCUGCUCCGCUGUCGGUCGCCUCAUCGCUUCUGCUCCGACAAGGAGAUCGCCGCCGGCCACCUCCGGGCCUCCUGCAGCACCUCCCUGCCGUCCAGCGACCCCACCAGCGACGCCACCGUCGGCCUCGGCGCUGGCGGCGAGGCAGAGGAGUUUGCACGGCGGCGACUGCAUAUGAAGAAAAGAAAAAGGCUAACCACUCCUAGAAGCUAGCAUGCAAAUCGUGGGCUGUUGGCGCAGCAGCAGCACACACGUUAGUGCAUGCACUACUACCUGAAAGACCGGUUCCAACAUCAUGGCCCUCGCCGGGUCUAAAGCCGGGGCCUGACGGGGACAGGUGCUGGGUGACUAAUGGCGACGACGAACAUGGAUCUGUGGCAGGGCGGCGGGAUCCAAGUCAAGGACGCUGGAGGCCGACGUUGACGGUGGUCUCAGGUGGCCACGGUGGUUCUCAGCAACGCCGAUCUGCAGAACGGAGCGCCGGCCAUGGCAUUUAGAGCAAGGAGAGAGAGUCGUCGUGGUCAUGGUACGCAGCAGCAGCAUGACGAGUAGGAGGAGGAGGACGGGGAGCAGGCUGCUGUAGCCUGGAGAAGUGCUCUCACGGCGGCGGCAGCAAAGCGGGGAAGAAGAAGGCGGGAGCUGAGGAGGAGGCUCGCUGGCGGGUGUACCCGGAGAGAGAGAGAGAGACCACCGUUGACUAGUGCCACAUCAGCAACGGGUGGAGAAAAACCAGUCCGGAGGAUGUUUUGUCCGGUUUAGGUUUGUUUGGGGGUUAAAAAGGCAAAAAUAGAUCAGGAGGUAAAAUGCACCACCCAUUUUAUUCAGGGUAGUAAAAUGGACUUUUUUCUUCUUCAUUUUAUUUUUUUGCAAAUCAGUGCCGGGUUUGGGACAGAGCAUUGCAAUUGGCACUGAUGAACGCUUGACAGUCUUCCUGACCGGUGGGGCCCAUAUGACAGCGCCGACGUCGCGAAAUAGCCACGUUGUAAUGUUUGACUCCUCUGUCUUACCUUAGGCCCCGUGUUCACUAUCCCCGACACCGCGGUGUCAUCCAUGCUCUGCUCCGGCUGGCGGUCACCGUCUCCUCGCUGUCGGCCUGCAUGGUGCCAAGAGCGGCCGCGCGCGAGUCCACGCCGGAAGGACCGCGCCACUGAUGCAACGCAGUCCGGAAGUAGAGCAUUUUCGCGCAGCCCGGACGGCGUCGCUGUGUCCUACCCGACGGCGGAGGGCUGCCGGCGCACGGCCCGCUGCCGCUGAUAACAUAGACACACAGUGCUGGUGGUGCGGGCGUGA